GACUGGUCCAAGUUUACUACUAAUUGAUCACAACCUGGAGCAGAUUUCUUUCUUCCUUCUCUACCCUCACUGCUUCUCCUGACUAGCCUUAA
rnacentral:Y_RNA from 1 species